UGUCCACGGGGGGCGCUGUUCUGUUCCCCGGGGGUAGCUGUUACUAUGCUGUCCACAGGGGGAAUCUGUUCUCCUGUCCACAGGGUUGCGCUGUUCCUCUCCUGUCCACCGAGGGGCGCUGUUGUUCCACGGUGACACCUCCCUAGUCUCGACGGGUCUCGCCUGGACAUAAUCAGGUACGAAUCGAUCGUCCCCACUCGGUAUAACUACAUAAUAUUAACAUAAUAUUAACGCUUCUAACAGUCAUCAAAUCAAUUGGAAAACAUUGUUGAAGUAAUGGUAUCACAGCCUGCUGUGUCGGCUGUUUGCUACUCGUAAUUGGCCCAAACAGAGGAGAAGAUCAGCCCUUUUAAUUCUCUCGUCAAUUAAGUUCCACGUCGCUCCGACAGUGACGAAGUGAGCAGGGACAUACGGAGGUGUAUGAAGGAAAACGACUAAUUGGGCGUCGAGGUGAGCGCUGGUCGAGCCAGAGAGAGAGAGAGGAGUCAAGCGUGAAGAUCACUCUUCCCUCAUCAGUGUCGUGAUGAGGACUUCACUGAGUGGCGGAGCCGCGGGGAGACGCACUCGGGCCCCCGGCACCGCCACAGUCGGCAGGUUAAGGACCCCCUGGCUCCCAGGUAGGACCCCGAGAGUGCUCUGCGGUGAAGGGGAGAUUGUGAGGGUUUGUUCACGUAAACAAGCGCUCCUAUGGAAAGCUCUGCUAUUUUACCUGUCAUGUGUAGUUUCACACGCAUACGUGUACAACAUUGAUACACACACGCACACAAACCCACACACACAGCAAAUGCACACUUCUAAACACGCACACUUCUAAACACACACACACGUAUACAGGCUGAUACACACACACACACACACACACACACACACACACACACACACACACACACACACACACACACACACACACACACACACACACACACACACACA